CCUACGGGAGGCAGCAGCCGAGAAUCUUCCGCAAUGGGCGAAAGCCUGACGGAGCGACGCCGCGUGUAGGAUGAAGGCCUUCGGGUUGUAAACUACUGUCACUUGGGACAAAAGGCUUUGCCGUGAAUAAUGGCAGAGAUUGAUGGUACCGAGAGAGGAAGCCACGGCUAACUCUGUG
rnacentral:rRNA from 1 species